UACGUAGGGUGCGAGCGUUAAUCGGAAUUACUGGGCGUAAAGCGUGCGCAGGCGGUUAUUUAAGUCAGGUGUGAAAGCCCUGGGCUUAACCUAGGAAUUGCGCUUGAGACUGGAUAGCUUGGAGUGCGGCAGAGGGAGGUGGAAUUCCACGUGUAGCAGUGAAAUGCGUAGAGAUGUGGAGGAACACCGAUGGCGAAGGCAGCCUCCUGGGCCAGCACUGACGCUCGAUGCACGAAAGCGUGGGAGCAAACAGG
rnacentral:rRNA from 1 species